UUCCAAGAACUCUCUCCCUCACCCUCUCUAGACUAUCAUCAUCAUUAAUCUUGUUGAAGUAAGAAUGGUGCAAGAAAAAUCAUCUACAUCAUCUCAUCUCCUACAUAUCACGAAUUUGGGUUCAUAGCUCGAGUAAUCCCCAUUUCUAGCUCAUUUCCGGAUUUCAUCUCUUGUGGAAAGCUUGGUGUGGAAUUGUGACACUCGUUGAACGCUUAUGAUCAUUCUUAAUUUGCUAUUACCGAUCAAGGUGAAGAGGUGCAUCAUAGACGUGUUGGAUGUUUCAUUGCAUGCUAGGGUUGGACUUGGACUUAUCCUUGGAUCCGCGAUCCAUUGUUUUCCCGCUUAAGGGUUAUGCUUAUGUGUGAUCCGGUACUUGCUUUCUUGAAUGGUUAGUAUGGAUUUUUGAAUCCUAUUUAUGCAUUAGUUUUACUCUA